rnacentral:rRNA from 1 species
CGUAGGGUGCAAGCGUUAAUCGGAAUUACUGGGCGUAAAGCGUGCGCAGGCGGCUUUGCAAGACAGAUGUGAAAUCCCCGGGCUUAACCUGGGAACUGCAUUUGUGACUGCAUGGCUGGAGUGCGGCAGAGGGGGAUGGAAUUCCGCGUGUAGCAGUGAAAUGCGUGGAUAUGCGGAGGAACACCGAUGGCGAAGGCAAUCCCCUGGGCCUGCACUGACGCUCAUGCACGAAAGCGUGGGGAGCAAACAGGAUUAGAUACCCUGGUAGUCCACGCCCUAAACGAUGUCAACUGGUUGUUGGACGGCUUGCUGUUCAGUAACGAAGCUAACGCGUGAAGUUGACCGCCUGGGGAGUACGGCCGCAAGGUUG